AUGGGUGUAAUUCAGUAGGUAGAAUGCUGGCUUUGGGAGCCAGUUGUCCUUGGUUCGAGUCCAAGUACCCAUAC
rnacentral:tRNA from 1 species